rnacentral:lncRNA from 1 species
GCUGGCGAAGGCAGGCACAUAGAGCUUUGUUACUCUGAACAUUUCUGGUACCACUGAGGCACGGAUCAGUAAAUUGGGUAUUUUGAAACAGAGGCUCUCCCAAAAAAAUCCCAUUAGAAGAUUGGACUCCCUGCACUGUGUUGCUGAGAGGUGUUGGUCUUCAAUUAUUCUUUUAUGACUUUGGAUGUUUCUGUGCAUUAUAUAAUGCAAGCACAUCGAUCACUUUCAUUUCCAGUCAUCCUACGGGUCUUCUCUCAAGUCCUGCUCCGUUCUACUACCCUUUGGCUUGUUUUGGAGAUUUCAGUCUUCCUCAUCAAAACACUUAACUUGGACAUGGCAGCACAGGGCACGUAAAAUAAAACAUCCCUGAGAAGAUUCA